rnacentral:rRNA from 1 species
CCUACGGGAGGCAGCAGUGGGGAAUAUUGGGCAAUGGAGGAAACUCUGACCCAGCGACGCCGCGUGCGGGAUGAAGGCCUUCGGGUUGUAAACCGCUUUCAGUAGGGAAGAAGCGAAAGUGACGGUACCUACAAAAGAAGCACCGGCUAACUAUGUGCCAGCAGCCGCGGUAAUACAUAGGGUGCAAGCGUUGUCCGGAAUUAUUGGGCGUAAAGAGCUCGUAGGUCGUUUGUUACGUCGGAUGUGAAAACCUGAGGCUCAACCUCAGGCCUGCAUUCGAUACGGGCAAACUAGAGUUUGGUAGGGGAGACUGGAAUUCCUGGUGUAGCGGUGGAAUGCGCAGAUAUCAGGAGGAACACCAAUGGCGAAGGCAGGUCUCUGGGCCAAUACUGACACUGAGGAGCGAAAGUCUGGGGAGCGAACAGGAUUAGAUACCCUGGUAGUCCAGACCGUAAACGGUGGGCACUAGUUGUGGGAACCUUCCACGGUUUCUGCGACGCAGCUAACGCAUUAAGUGCCCCGCCUGGGGAGUACGAUCGCAAGNUUAAAACUCAAAGGAAUUGACGGCNGAGAGNGCGAGACGACACGAGGAGAG